UGAUCCAACAGCACACUGGUUUGUCUAGG
rnacentral:piRNA from 1 species